GGCGUGCUGAGGAGAUAUUCAGAUGGAAGUAAAAAGCAAAGUAACAACAUCGGUGGAAACACUUUUAUAUUGUAAGCUUCUCUUUUGGUGAGUUUGUGCUCCCCCACCCCCUUUAUUAUCUUGUAAACUGAUUUCUUUAAACACAGUAUUUCCAAAUAGUAAAAAUAUCUUUUAAUUAUUGGUUUUAGUGGUAGGUGGGCAGCUUUGCUGAUGAGGAAUGUUCUUUGGCGGUGAGUGUGUGGGGGGGAUAGAGAACAGAGAAGCAUUUUCCAAGCAAGUGGAGACAAAACAAAUUACGAUCGUAGGUCAAGGGCCUGGCCCUCAGUAGUCAAAUAAAAUAAAAAAAUCAAAAAAAUCAAUUGCCCUAAUUGAAAGCACACCCAAUCCUCCACCACUCCGAAAUUAUUUCAUCUGAUAAGGUAGCAUCCAUUAAGGAGUGAGUCUUUAAAACUAAUGACAUCAAAACCAGGCAAAAGAAAUUGCAGGAAAUAGAAGAGGUCGCCAGAUGUUCCUAAACAGCUUCCUUUUGACGUGCUGUAGUGGAUAACUCCAGAUACUGUAUCCAAGUGUGCGGGGGGAGGACUUGGAGCUCUGAAUUUCUUUACCUAGAAUGAAUAACCCUGGAAAUCCUUAAAACUAAAAAUCACUCCCCCCCCCCAGCAUAUUUUCUUUACUAGAUUUAAAAGUACUUGUUCCACCCUAUUUUUUGGUCAAGUAUGUUCCCAAAGCAGAUAACGUUUAGUGUGUGUGUGUGUGUGUGUGUGUGUGUGUGAGAGAGAGAGAGAGAGAGAGAGAGAGAGGAGUUAAAACUACCAAACAAAAUUGCCAAUAGUUCAAUAGGGUUCUCUGACUGGAGUUGCUUUAAAAUUGGUAUUGACGAUGGAGGUUUAGAAAACCCUAGGAACUCUCCAUAUAAUCCUCUCCACUGCAUGUGUGGAACUCCUUUAGGGCAGCAUGUGUUGUAACCCCAUGUGUUGUGCCUUGUAAAAGCAACUGUUUAUCAACCUACUCAUCUUUAUUGAGUGCUGACCUGACCUGAGAGCAGAAUCUAUCAAGGGAUGGAAGGAAGUCUGAGUAUGUACUCCAGCCCUACAACUCACAGACAGAGUAAAUAUCAUAACGACUCUACAAAAACUGUCCAUAAUAAAACCAUCAGCCCAUACACCUCUAAGGUCAGGGGAACAGCUUCCUGUUCGUUUGAGCCUCCCCCACCUUGGGAGACAGCUUAGCAAUGAGUGGUAGAUACAAGUAACUCCAUGAUAGGGAGAUCAAUCAACCUUCCUAAUAAUAACCUAUAGUCUUAAGGGACACAGAACUGAUAAGUCUGCCUCUCCUCAACCACUGGAGGCAAGAACUCCAAAGGCAAUAGAGAAUGGGUUACAAGUCAUAAUUGUUUGUAGGCCAGUGAGGAAAACAAGACUGCACAAGUGCUACUAAUUAUAUUUAUAGCUAGAAGCAGCACCCUCUUAAGUACAAACAAAAAGGCCACGAUGCAAUUGUCAACGGGGCGGGGGGGGGUGAGUUGGGAGGGAGGAAAACCUUUGAACAUGCUGGGGAUGUUAAAGAGAAGAUGCCUCACAUGUGCAAUUACUCAGCAUCUCUUUACAACUGUGAACACAUGUUCCCAUGUGGAGAAAAUUAUAGCUGUGAAUACCACCAGGUAGGCACGCUGUCCCUGCCCUUGCUCUCUUUCUCCUCUCUCUGCAUUCUCCCUUCUGGUUCACAAAGCUAGGAAACAGGGGAGGUUCUGUAUCAGCUGCAUCAAAAGGUUCAAGGGACAAAUCAUUUAAAGUCAAGCGGCCAGGCUGUCAGAGUGGAGACAAAGGAGUGGAGACAAAGGAGAUGGGUGCUAUUUUUAUCUCAACCUGUUCCCCCUCUCAGACUGCUCUUCCCACCUAAAUAGCACACAUGUAUAAUAUAAAUUGACAGGUUCCUGGCGUCUUUGUCAGAAAACGGCAGCAAGUUCAUAAGCUUUUCUGAGUUGCACAGAGGGGCUCAAAUAGAAAUAAACAGAAUUAUUUACUAAUAGAUAAUUCAGGGAGCCUGCAUAAAUGUGAUAUUUGCAACGUAAUCCUAUCCAUGUGGAUACAGGAACAGAUUUCUGACAGAAAGGACUCACACCCUCCAACAUUUUGCCGAUGAAAAUAGGGACGUCCCAUUCCAUAAUGAUAAUUUUUCUAUUUAUACCCCACACAUCUUACUGGGUUGCCCCAGCCACUCACAGCAGCUUCCAACAUAAACAAAGACAUGAUAAAACAUUAAGCAUUCAAAAAAGCUUCCCUAUACAGGAUCGCCUUCAGACAGCUUGGGGGGGGGGGGUUGGAUAACUCCAUACCCUCCAACAUUUCUCCAAUGAAAACAGGGGCAUCCUAAGGAAAAGUGGGAUAUUCCAGAAUCAAAUCAGAAACCGGGAUGGUUUCUCUAAAUCAGGAACGUCCCUGGAAAAUAAGGACACUUGGAGGGUCUGAAUGACUCUGGAGAUUUGCAAAAGGAGGGCUGAAAACAAAUUAAGGAGGAAGUCCAUACAAAUAUCCAGAGCAUGCGCUGUUAGGGGAGGGGUAGCUUCGGGGGGGGUGACACAUGCUCCUUCUGAGGGUUUGUCCAUCUUUGGUCUCUACCCUGCACUCAGCUCUCACCUGUGCCUCCUAGAAGCUGUCAGCAUGUGUCAGUGGCUGCACCUCAGAAAACAGCUUCGAUUGGCCCACGAAACCAAGUGAGGGGAGCCAAGAAAAGAGUAAAUCCAGAGUGAAGUCCCGCCCCGCCCCGUGCCAGUCUUGCCACACAAGAUGCAUUUAGCUGAACCUGUGUUGCUGCACUUUGUAAAUAGUAAUGUUAUUUGAUUGUGCAUCUGCUCUCACCCAUUUUACUGUUUUGUUGUUUGUUGAUUGGUUGAUUACACUGUUCUAUUGUAUUUCAUAUUGUAUGCUGUUUCAGGAUUAUUUUAUAAGAAAAAAUGGGUAAGAAAUUUUAUUAAAAUAACAAAUAAAAUGAUUUUAAGGAAAUUGGGAAUCCUAGGCCAAAGAAGACAAGGAAAAAGAUGCGGAACUGAAGGAAUGUUACUAGAGUAUGCCUAAUCAAAGAAUCUUGUAUCUUUCCUGUAUUUUCACUUAGUAGUCAUUUUGGUUUAAUUUUUAACUUAUUGUUGCCAACACUUUGCAAAGGUAAAGAAAGGGGCC